rnacentral:rRNA from 1 species
CCUACGGGUGGCUGCAGUGGGGAAUAUUGCACAAUGGGCGAAAGCCUGAUGCAGCAACGCCGCGUGAGCGAUGAAGGCCUUCGGGGCGUAAAGCUCUGUCCUCAAGGAAGAUAAUGAAGGUACGUGAGGAGGAAGCCCCGGCUAACUACGUGCAAGCAGCCGCGGGAAUACGUAGGGGGCUAGGGUUAUCCGGAAUUACUGGGCGUAAAGGGGGCGUAGGUGGUUUCUUAAGUCAGAGGUGAAAGGCUAAGGUUCAACCGUAGUAAGCCUUUGAAAAUGGGGAACUUGAGUGCAGGAGAGGUGAGUGGAAUUCCUGGUGUAGCGGUGAAAUGCGUAGAUAUUAGGCGGAACACCAGUUGCGAAGGCGGCUCUCUGGACUGUAACUGACACUGAGGCACGAAAGCGUGGGGAGCAAACAGGAUUAGAUACCCCUGUAGUC